AUUGAACGCUGGCGGCAGGCCUAACACAUGCAAGUCGAGCGAGCGGCGGACGGGUGAGUAAUGUAUGGGGACUGCCCGAUAGAGGGGGAUAACUACUGGAAACGGUAGCUAAUACCGCAUACUAUCGGAUAACCCAUAUGGGAUUAGCUAGUAGGUGAGGUAAUGGCUCACCGAGGCGACGAUCCCUAGCUGGUCUGAGAGGAUGAUCAGGCACACGGGGACUGAAAUACGCCGCAGACUGUUACGGAUGCAGCAGAGGGGAAUAUUGAAGAAUGGAGGAAAGGCUACAGCAGCCAGGGCACGAGUAUGAAGAAGGCCCUAGGGUUGUAUAGUCCUUUCAGUCGAGAGGCGGUACCGACAGAAGAAGCACCGGCUAACUGCGGGCAAGCAGCCGCGGUAAUUC
rnacentral:rRNA from 1 species